AGCUCGUAGUUGGAUCUCCGUCUCGGUCGGACGGUCCACUUCACGGUGGUACUGUUCGAAUCGGACAUUUGGCCGCCUUUCUUACAAUGCUCUUUACUGAGUGUUGUGGGAGAGUGGCACGUUUACUUUGAAAAAAUUGGAGUGCUCAAAGCAGGCGUAUGCCUGAACCUUCGUGCAUGGAAUGAUGGAAUAGGGCCUCGGUUCUAUUUUGUUGGUUUCCGGAACUCGAGGUAAUGAUUAAGAGGGACAGACGGGGGCAUUCGUAUUGCGACGUUAGAGGUGAAAUUCUUAGAUCGUCGCAAGACAGACUACUGCGAAAGCAUUUGCCAAGAAUGUUUUCAUUAAUCAAGAACGAAAGUCAGAGGUUCGAAGGCGAUCAGAUACCGCCCUAGUUCUGACCAUAAACGAUGCCAACUGGCGAUUCGUCGGUGUUAAUUCCAAUGACCCGACGGGCAGCUUCCGGGAAACCAAAGUGUUCGUGUUCCGGGGGUAGUAUGGUUGCAAAACUGGAACUUAAAGGAAUUGACGGAAGGGCACCACCAGGAGUGGAGCCUGUGGCUUAAUUUGACUCAACACGGGAAAUCUCACCAGGCCCGGACACUGGCAGGAUUGACAGAUUGAGAGCUCUUUCUUGAUUCAGUGGGUGGUGGUGCAUGGCCGUUCUUAGUUGGUGGAGUGAUUUGUCUGGUUAAUUCCGAUAACGAACGAGACCCCGUCCUACUCACUAGACUGUGGAUGAUUCGUCAUUCACAGGUUCUUCUUAGAGGGACAACUGGCGUUUCUCCAGCUACAU
rnacentral:rRNA from 1 species